AUACGGAGGGUCCGAGCGUUAUCCGGAAUCAUUGGGUUGAAAGGGUCCGUAGGCGGGAAUCUAAGUCAGUGGUGAAAUCUUGCAGCUCAACUGUAAAAUUGCCAUUGAUACUGGAUUUCUUGAAUUAGUGUGAAGUGGUUAGAAUGUGUAGUGUAGCGGUGAAAUGCAUAGAUAUUACACAGAAUACCAAUUGCGAAGGCAGAUCACUAACACUAUAUUGACGCUAAGGGACGAAAGCGUGGGGAGCGAACAGGAUUAGAAACCCUAGUAGUCC
rnacentral:rRNA from 1 species